UGGCGGUGUAGCUCAGAUGGCUAGAGCAUCCGGUUCAUACCCGGAAGGUCAUGGGUUCGACCCCCUUCGCCGCUAU
rnacentral:tRNA from 1 species